GACAGAGGGUGCAAACGUUGUUCGGAAUUACUGGGCGUAAAGCGCGUGUAGGCGGCUCGGCAAGUCGGGUGUGAAGGCCCUGGGCUUAACCUAGGAAGUGCACUCGAAACUGCCAAGCUUGAGUUCUGGAGAGGAAGGCGGAAUUCUCGGUGUAGAGGUGAAAUUCGUAGAUAUCGAGAGGAACACCGGUGGCGAAGGCGGCCUUCUGGACAGCAACUGACGCUGAGACGCGAAAGCGUGGGGAGCAAACAGG
rnacentral:rRNA from 1 species